GGCGCUAUAGCCAAGUGGUUACGGCGACAGAUUAGAACCAUUCAAAAUUGGAAUCUGCAAUCUGUUCCUCUUUGAGGGCGCAGGUUCGAAUCCUGCUGGCGUCG